GGGUUGUGAGGUUAAGCGACUAAGCGUACACGGUGGAUGCCCUGGCAGUCAGAGGCGAUGAAGGACGUGCUAAUCUGCGAUAAGCGUCGGUAAGGUGAUAUGAACCGUUAUAACCGGCGAUUUCCGAAUGGGGAAACCCAGUGUGAUUCGUCACACUAUCAUUAACUGAAUCCAUAGGUUAAUGAGGCGAACCGGGGGAACUGAAACAUCUAAGUACCCCGAGGAAAAGAAAUCAACCGAGAUUCCCCCAGUAGCGGCGAGCGAACGGGGAGCAGCCCAGAGCCUGAAUCAGUGUGUGUGUUAGUGGAAGCGUCUGGAAAGGCGCGCGAUACAGGGUGACAGCCCCGUACACAAAAAUGCACAUACUGUGAGCUCGAUGAGUAGGGCGGGACACGUGGUAUCCUGUCUGAAUAUGGGGGGACCAUCCUCCAAGGCUAAAUACUCCUGACUGACCGAUAGUGAACCAGUACCGUGAGGGAAAGGCGAAAAGAACCCCGGCGAGGGGAGUGAAAAAGAACCUGAAACCGUGUACGUACAAGCAGUGGGAGCACGCUUAGGCGUGUGACUGCGUACCUUUUGUAUAAUGGGUCAGCGACUUAUAUUCUGUAGCAAGGUUAACCGAAUAGGGGAGCCGAAGGGAAACCGAGUCUUAACUGGGCGUUAAGUUGCAGGGUAUAGACCCGAAACCCGGUGAUCUAGCCAUGGGCAGGUUGAAGGUUGGGUAACACUAACUGGAGGACCGAACCGACUAAUGUUGAAAAAUUAGCGGAUGACUUGUGGCUGGGGGUGAAAGGCCAAUCAAACCGGGAGAUAGCUGGUUCUCCCCGAAAGCUAUUUAGGUAGCGCCUCGUGAAUUCAUCUCCGGGGGUAGAGCACUGUUUCGGCAAGGGGGUCAUCCCGACUUACCAACCCGAUGCAAACUGCGAAUACCGGAGAAUGUUAUCACGGGAGACACACGGCGGGUGCUAACGUCCGUCGUGAAGAGGGAAACAACCCAGACCGCCAGCUAAGGUCCCAAAGUCAUGGUUAAGUGGGAAACGAUGUGGGAAGGCCCAGACAGCCAGGAUGUUGGCUUAGAAGCAGCCAUCAUUUAAAGAAAGCGUAAUAGCUCACUGGUCGAGUCGGCCUGCGCGGAAGAUGUAACGGGGCUAAACCAUGCACCGAAGCUGCGGCAGCGACGCUGAUGCGUUGUUGGGUAGGGGAGCGUUCUGUAAGCCUGCGAAGGUGUGCUGUGAGGCAUGCUGGAGGUAUCAGAAGUGCGAAUGCUGACAUAAGUAACGAUAAAGCGGGUGAAAAGCCCGCUCGCCGGAAGACCAAGGGUUCCUGUCCAACGUUAAUCGGGGCAGGGUGAGUCGACCCCUAAGGCGAGGCCGAAAGGCGUAGUCGAUGGGAAACAGGUUAAUAUUCCUGUACUUGGUGUUACUGCGAAGGGGGGACGGAGAAGGCUAUGUUGGCCGGGCGACGGUUGUCCCGGUUUAAGCGUGUAGGCUGGUUUUCCAGGCAAAUCCGGAAAAUCAAGGCUGAGGCGUGAUGACGAGGCACUACGGUGCUGAAGCAACAAAUGCCCUGCUUCCAGGAAAAGCCUCUAAGCAUCAGGUAACAUCAAAUCGUACCCCAAACCGACACAGGUGGUCAGGUAGAGAAUACCAAGGCGCUUGAGAGAACUCGGGUGAAGGAACUAGGCAAAAUGGUGCCGUAACUUCGGGAGAAGGCACGCUGAUAUGUAGGUGAAGUCCCUCGCGGAUGGAGCUGAAAUCAGUCGAAGAUACCAGCUGGCUGCAACUGUUUAUUAAAAACACAGCACUGUGCAAACACGAAAGUGGACGUAUACGGUGUGACGCCUGCCCGGUGCCGGAAGGUUAAUUGAUGGGGUUAGCGCAAGCGAAGCUCUUGAUCGAAGCCCCGGUAAACGGCGGCCGUAACUAUAACGGUCCUAAGGUAGCGAAAUUCCUUGUCGGGUAAGUUCCGACCUGCACGAAUGGCGUAAUGAUGGCCAGGCUGUCUCCACCCGAGACUCAGUGAAAUUGAACUCGCUGUGAAGAUGCAGUGUACCCGCGGCAAGACGGAAAGACCCCGUGAACCUUUACUAUAGCUUGACACUGAACAUUGAGCCUUGAUGUGUAGGAUAGGUGGGAGGCUUUGAAGUGUGGACGCCAGUCUGCAUGGAGCCGACCUUGAAAUACCACCCUUUAAUGUUUGAUGUUCUAACGUGGACCCGUAAUCCGGGUUGCGGACAGUGUCUGGUGGGUAGUUUGACUGGGGCGGUCUCCUCCUAAAGAGUAACGGAGGAGCACGAAGGUUGGCUAAUCCUGGUCGGACAUCAGGAGGUUAGUGCAAUGGCAUAAGCCAGCUUGACUGCGAGCGUGACGGCGCGAGCAGGUGCGAAAGCAGGUCAUAGUGAUCCGGUGGUUCUGAAUGGAAGGGCCAUCGCUCAACGGAUAAAAGGUACUCCGGGGAUAACAGGCUGAUACCGCCCAAGAGUUCAUAUCGACGGCGGUGUUUGGCACCUCGAUGUCGGCUCAUCACAUCCUGGGGCUGAAGUAGGUCCCAAGGGUAUGGCUGUUCGCCAUUUAAAGUGGUACGCGAGCUGGGUUUAGAACGUCGUGAGACAGUUCGGUCCCUAUCUGCCGUGGGCGCUGGAGAACUGAGGGGGGCUGCUCCUAGUACGAGAGGACCGGAGUGGACGCAUCACUGGUGUUCGGGUUGUCAUGCCAAUGGCACUGCCCGGUAGCUAAAUGCGGAAGAGAUAAGUGCUGAAAGCAUCUAAGCACGAAACUUGCCCCGAGAUGAGUUCUCCCUGACUCCUUGAGAGUCCUGAAGGAACGUUGAAGACGACGACGUUGAUAGGCCGGGUGUGUAAGCGCAGCGAUGCGUUGAGCUAACCGGUACUAAUGAACCGUGAGGCUUAACCUUACAACGCCGAAGCUGUU
rnacentral:rRNA from 1 species